rnacentral:rRNA from 1 species
AUGCACCACGUAGUAUCUAGCCAUCAUUCCCUCCCCGCGAUCGAGCCCUCCACUCCGCUCGCACUGAUUGCCAUUUACCUCCCACCAGUCCACCGCACCCUGCACCGCGCGCGCGCCGGCCGGCCGGCAACCAUGUCUCCGCGUCGCUGCGCCGGCCGCGUCCCGCCGCCGAGCAGGGAGCGGGAGCACCACCCGUCCUUCUCCGCGGCGCUGCUCGACGCCAUCUACCACUCGCUCGACGCCGACGCAUGCGCGCCCGCCGAGGAGCUCCGCCGGGCCAACGCGUCCCCGUUCGAGAUGCCGUCGCCGCCUCCUAGCCGUCACCGGCGUCCGUCCACCGGCUCAUCGCCGUCCGUGUCCUCUGCACGGUCGCCUCGGCCGCCCAAGCCGCCGCGGCCGUGCCGCGUCCUGCCCCACCCGCAAGCACCGUCGCUUCUCUUGCCGCCGCCGCCGCCGAUAUCGAUGCCAGCGCCGCCAGCCGUGGAAAGCAAAGAGAAUAGGAAGAUCAGGAGGAAGAAGAGAAGCAAGUCGGCGACGUUCGCGUGCCUUCUGAACGCUCUGCUUUGCAACCGGAAGCCCCCGGCAAGGUCGUCGUCUGUUGACGCGACGGCGAUGAGGGCUCUGCCGCCGACAGUUGCGGCAGAGCCGGCAUCAGCGAGGUCGAUUCUGUCUUCUCGCGCUUCCCGGCGGGACUCCACGGCGGCCGCUGGCGGGUUUCUGACUCCGGGGAGGCGGGCCGUGAGGUUCUCGCCGGCGGUGGAGGUCGUGGUGGACGAGGGGGAGCACGGCCAUGGAGCCAGGACGACGGGGAGGCUACGCGACGCUAGCGGGAGCGGGACGGAGUCGUUGGCGGCUGCUGAUGCGGAGCGGAGGGUGGAGGAACUGCUGCGCGCGCUGAGCGUGGCGGAGGAGAGGGAGCGGGCCAAGGAGAGCAGCGAGUCCAGCUCCGACCUGUUCGAGCUCGAGAGCUUGCCGCCGGCGCUCGACAACGCCGAGUUGCCGCGGACGACAGUCGCCGCCGCUGGAUUGGCACCGCCGAGGCGACGCGUUCUGCUAGACGAGAUGGUUGUAUAG